rnacentral:misc_RNA from 1 species
GUAGGUGAACCUGCGGAAGGAUCAUUAAUGAAACUUCAAAGUCGGCUUGUUCAUCUGUGCUGGUGGGAGACCACAUGUGCACGUUGGGCGAGUCGCAAAUCCACACACCUGUGAAUCUAUGACUCCGAGUUGCCACUUUGCAUGGCUUUACGGCCUGGUACUCGAGUACUUUACACACUCUGAAAUGGAAUGGAAUGUCUAUUGUGCACAAUGUACAACUAAAACAACUUUCAACAACGGAUCUCUUGGC